AGAGUUUGAUCCUGGCUCAGAAUGAACGCUAGCGGCAGGCUUAACACAUGCAAGUCGAGCGAAGAACUGGUUCGCCAGUUCUUAGCGGCAAACGGGUGAGUAAUGAAUGGGAAUCUACCUAGAAGUCUGGGAUAGCCACUGGAAACGGUGAUUAAUACUAGAUACGCCCUGAGGGGGAAAGAUUUAUCGCUUUUAGAUGAGCCCAUUUCGGAUUAGCUAGUUGGUAGGGUAAGUGCCUACCAAGGCGAUGAUCCGUAGCCGGUCUGAGAGGACGGUCGGCCACACUGGGACUGAGACACGGCCCAGACUCCUACGGGAGGCAGCAGUGGGGAAUAUUGGACAAUGGGCGCAAGCCUGAUCCAGCCAUGCCGCGUGAGUGAAUAAGGCCUUCGGGUUGUAAAGCUCUUUUAGGGGGGAAGAUAAUGACGGUACCCCCAGAAAAAGUCCCGGCUAACUCUGUGCCAGCAGCCGCGGUAAUACAGAGGGGGCAAGCGUUAUUCGGAAUUAUUGGGCGUAAAGGGUGCGUAGGCGACCCAGCAAGUUGGAAGUGUAAUCCCGUGGCUUAACCACGGAACUGCUUUCAAUACUACUGGGAUUGAGGUAUGGAGAGGAUAGUGGAACUCCUAGUGUAGAGGUGAAAUUCGUAGAUAUUAGGGGGAACACCGGUGGCGAAGGCGGCUAUCUGGCCAUAUACUGACGCUGAGGCACGAAAGUGUGGGGAGCAAACAGGAUUAGAUACCCUGGUAGUCC
rnacentral:rRNA from 1 species